CAUCAAACUCCCAAACGUUUGAACAGUAGUCCACUGUAAUCAAGUACUGCUUUUCCCGGAAGGUAAAUGUCUGCUGUCCUCUUUUCCCAGUUGUGCAACUAAUGUGAGCCUGUCCAAAGAAGACACAGCUUGCAGUGAUGAUUAGGUUUAAUUAGUUUGAGUGAUUUCUGCACUGAGCAAGCCUAACUAUUGUUUUGGGACAGAGUCAUCAAAUACAAAUUUUUUGGAUUGCAGUUAUAUGGCAAGUUUUCAAAUCAUAAAGAGGUAGACAAAGCACUUGAGAAUAGACUGAAGAGUACAAUGUUACAUUGGCACGGGG